GUCAUGGGGUGGUUCGGGAGACUCAAUGAACGUGUAGUGAGAGCUUCCCUGCUGACACCAUAUCAACACAUGCGCACCACCUGAGCUUCGUGCUCGGGCCACGGUGCAAUUUUUGGAAACUCUCUUUGACUCUGAGAGGAAACAGCGGCGUGCAAGAAAAAAAAAAGACCAGGAUGUGUCCUCUGAGCUGCCCUCUGCUGGACACAGGGCGGAACCACGUCCUGAGCGUGAGGCUCAUAAACACACAGCCUCACAUCGGCUUCUGGUUCAUUUUAAGAGGACAGAUGUGGAGCGUGUCCCCCUUCCUCCCAUCUCUGCUCACCUUGAAGUUGCUGGAGUUGACCCAGGAGCUGGCCACAGCGUCCACCAUCCUGUCCAGCCCGGUCUGGUCCUGCUCCAGCUCUGGAGACUUCUCCUGGUCCAGGAUGAGCUCCAUGAUCUCCUGGCCCACCUGGAGCCUCUUCCCCAGGUCCUUGUGCAGCACCUGCUCCAGCAGGUACUCCAUGCUCACCUCCUCCUCCUCCUCCAUGGCUGCAGGCAGUCAGAGGGCACCAGCAGACCUCCAGCCGGUCUCACGCUUGGUGUCCUUACAGUUGGCAGGACCUGCUGCAGGUUUUGACCCCCUUCACUCACGCGUUGUUCUCUUCAGGAGGCGGCUGAUGCCGAUGAUGUGAGCACCGGGACAUGCUGCGACGGGCUGCGCCGGACACAGCCGUCCAUCCUCUGUGUCCACAUUAAAGCAGAAAGAAGGACAGUGAGUGUCCAAACAGCGCGCUCAGGUCCAGCCGAGUGUCCGGCGGUGCUUAGCCUGCUAGCUGCUAGCUUAAAGAGACACCGAGGCUGCUUAAAGUUUAGCUAACCGAGCGUGGAGCCGCAGAUAAAACAGUUUAUUUAGCUCUUAGCUCUGACAGCUAGCACAGCUCGCUAUUAGCCAGCUUUUACCCCAAAAUACAGUGAAGCUAGUGUUAGCUAUGCGGGCUAAAGUUAACUCGUUAACGUCCACAGAGGUGAACCGUUAACCUUUACCGUGCCUGAGCUGUUAUUACAGGGUUAACCAAACAGUUAUUGAUUCAGUGGCCGGCUGCGGACUCACUCACCGGAUGGUCUGGACGACUCGUUCCCAGAAGAAGAAGAAAAAAAAAAGUCCGAAGUGGCGGCGCUGCCUCCGGCCGCGCUCCCGUCCCCUCACAUCAGCCCCGCGCCGCGCUCAGCUCCGGGAGCCUCGGCUCAUGUCCGCGCCGCCGAGCCUCCGCCGGCCGAACCACACACGGAGGUUAAUAGACGAAUAAAUUAUUAUUUAGCACAGCCA
rnacentral:lncRNA from 1 species